CACUCUUUGGGAUGUCUCAAAUGAUUUGGAUCUCAUGUGCUUGGGCUAAAUAAAAUUGGACCUUUGCUUUUCCUUACUCACUGAUUCUGUGUGGUAUUUUUCGAAACCUGAAUGAAGAGUCAACUGAAUUAGCUACGCAUCUACCUGAGCCCCUAGCCGUGUUCAAGACUGACAUUGUGAAGAAUCCAUCCAUCCAUCCAUCCAUCUUCUACAGCCUACUCCUUCUUCAGGGUCGCGGGGGAACCUGGAGCCUAUCCCAGGGAACAUCGGGCACAGGGCGGGGUACACCCUGGACAGGGUGCCAGUCCAUCGCACGGCACAAUCACAUACACACUCACACACCCAUUCAUGCACUACAGACACUUUAGACACAUUGUGAAGUAUAAACAAAUCUAAUCAAUAAUACAUAAUAUUUUAAAAUUUUGUAUUUUAAAAAAUACAAUGUUUUAAAAUAUAAUAUUUUUAAAAAUAUAUAUGUUCUUAUUAGUUACAAUACAACAUUGACAGUUCUCAACUACAUGAAUGUCUUCAUAUUUUCAUAACUGGGUCAUUCAUAAGGAAAGAAGCAUAAAAAGCCUCCUUUGUAUAGACUAUAGAUGUGUUUUACUUAUCCAUGGUCAAAGUUUAACACAAACAAACCACAAACCUCAACAAGAAUACACCAUAAGUAACAUUAACAAAGUAACUACACUAAUAAACCAACUGGAAACAUUCAGAUAUGAGAUUAGAGAGCAGGUGCCAGUAUGUACAGUAUGUUCUCAACAUUUACAAUCAUGCUGUAAUUUAAUUUAUUUUUUUGCUAAAUUAUGUGGACUUAUUUUUGGGCACAGUGGUGCAGCAGGUAGUUUUACCACCUCACAGCUCCAGGGUCUCUGGUUCACGCUUGGAUUACUGUCUGUGUGGAUCUUUGCAUGUUCUCCCCAUAUCUGUAUGGACUUCCUCUGGGAUCUCUGGUUUCUGUCCACCUCUCAAAAAUAUGGUGAUAAGUUACUGGUCUACUCUACAUUCAUUAUCUUCUAUGUGCAAAUCUAUCUGUAUGUUGUCCUACACUGUACUGGCUUCUUAUUCAGGGUUUAUUCCUGUCUCACACCCAGUGUUCCAAGGAUAGAUUGCUUAUCCGCCACGACUCUGACCAAUAAAGUGGUUACUGAAAAUGAAUGAAUGAACAAAUCUUUAGCCAUGGACUGAAUGAACAGGCAAUGUAGAUGUAUUUUGUCAACAUUAAACAUGUGUUAACUAA